rnacentral:lncRNA from 1 species
UGUAAAAACUGCAUUGUAAUUUCAGUCCAGUACAACUUUCAUUAGGAAGGUUUUCCCUGGCCAGUAAUGAAUAUUGGUUCCAUUAAUUUGAACAUCUGGGUGUCUGUACUGACUUUAUGAAGUGCACCACUUCAAUUGAAGCCCCCACUCCCCCCCCAGUGAAAUCUCAAGGCCCAGGUCCAGGAGGUAAGGACUACAGAGAGGGCUCCUAUGACAGAGUGUAUCUGUGUGUGUGCUUGAGAGGGGGAGAUAUCUCUGGGCUCACUGUAUACAGCUAGGCCAGAGCCCGUGAAGGAGUCUUGAACCCUAAUCCCCUUCAGGGGUGUUUCUGAAUCUGGACUCAGAGAGUAUACAAUCCUUAUCUCCCAUGAGGUAUUGGGUCAGAAAUAUGAGGAAGCGAUUGAUGCCUUCUCCGGAGUCUUCCCCUGAUCCUGAGAUCCCAGACAAAUUUUGGAACCAUCUGUUCUGAAAAUCAGAUACAGUUCAAGCUAAAGAAUUCCCCCAAAAGGGGCUGAGAGCAGCAGAAAUCAACUCAAUUGCAGGCAUGGCCAUGCCUUAGGACCAGGCCCUCCUGAUUGCACUGAACCUAAAUAAAUACCCUCCUGAGCAAAUCUAAUGCUGAAACCCAUUCACCAAAUCCUAAGGGAAUAUGCGGAUGAGAUCCUCCCAUAUCCUUCAAAGGAAGAUGGAGAGGAAAUCACACACCCAGCCCAAAUGGAGGGAUCCAACCAGCUAACAUCUUGAUGGAUACUAUUCGAGUUGAAAGAUCAUUAUCUUUCACACAAGCAAGAGAGCCUAAAUGUAAUCCCUUCACUAUUGGAUGCACAAAACAGUACGCUCCUGUCUGUGGUACUGAUGGACGUACCUAUUCCAGUGAAUGCGUUCUGUGUAAGGAAAAUGUGAAAGACAUCAGUCAAAAACGAUGUUGUUUGAAGGGUCUGGCAAUGUUUAACCCAGGGAACAGAAUAUUUAAAGAGAAGAGAUUAAUCUCUGCUGUCAAUAUCAGAAGAGCUUCUGAGGUGCAGAAGAUAUUCCAGAAACAGAAGCAAUGAGUAAAAGUUGUCAAGAAACUGAUAUUGGAUCCAAAUUAAAAACUUCUGAUUAAAAACAUCUGACCAUCAGUGAAAUAGAUGAUGUUCUAAGCUCCCUUCCAAACUUUACAUUUUCUAUGGUAAGAUUCCUUUCUCCUCUAAUGUUCUAUCUUGUCCUUGUUCUGCUGAUGACUUUCUAGGCAGAGGUUUUUUGUUUGUUUGUUUGUUUGUUUGUUUGUUUUUAUCCCUUCGCACUGUAGAUUUGUCUUAAAUGAAAGUGAUUCACAUUGCUUUAUCUUUUCACUUCUCUUCCAGGAAAAGAGAGACACACGUCCUCAUCGAAAAAGUUGGGCAAUGCUGAGGAAACAAAAAAAUUCUGGAACUUCCAGGGGUGGUAUGAUGGCUAGCCAGCUUGAGUUUCUAAUAAAUGCAUGAGAACGAUUGCUGCUCUUUAGUGA